rnacentral:pre_miRNA from 1 species
CCUCCUGAAACAAGUAAUCAAGAAUAGGCCGUGUUGCCUGGUAACAGCCUAUCCUGGAUUACUUGAACCAGGCC